rnacentral:misc_RNA from 1 species
AACAUCGCGCACCUGCGGGAACCUGCGGAGGGAUCAUUACAGAGUUGCAAAACUCCCUAAACCAUUGUGAACGUUACCUAAACCGUUGCUUCGGCGGGCGGCGCGCCCUCGCGCGCGCCCCUGGGCCCCACCGCGGGCGCCCGCCGGAGGUCACCAAACUCUUGAUAUUAAUUGGCCUCUCUGAGUCUUCUGUACUGAAUAAGUCAAAACUUUCAGCAAUGGAUCUCAGAUCGGAAGAGC